rnacentral:misc_RNA from 1 species
CAACCCUUAAGCCCUGUUGCUUAGCGUUGGGAGCCUACGGCCCAGCCGUAGCUCCUCAAAGUUAGUGGCGGAGUUGGUCCUCACUCUAGGCGUAGUAAUUCUAUCUCGCCUCUGCAGUGGUGCCGGCCCCUGCCGUAAAACCCCUAAUUUUCAAU